GCGCCCCCCUGCCCCAGCCCUGCGCCCCCCUGCCCCCAAGAGACGUGCCCGACCCGCGCGCCACCACCCACGCGGCCAGGCAAGGGCACGCGCUCCACACGUAGCCUAUCAGACAGCCCAUCACCCCCACCUGGCCCCGCCCCAGUACUGGCCAGAGAACCAAUACGUGAUGAGGAACCGUCACACCAGGCGAGACCACGCCCCCUAUGGUUACCAGAGACCAGCCCACUACUACCCCUACCCCCCCUACUAGCACUGCCCCCCCGCAGCUUCCAGUUCAGUAUUAUGACCUCAUGGUCUGUUAUGGAAACGGUUCUGUUGUUAUGGAACCAGUUCUGUUAUGGUUACCUGUCAAUAUUUAGUGCUUUUUAUUGUUUCAUGAAGGGUUUUCUCUGUAAAGCUUUUUUCGAAGACUUAACUCAUUUUAGUGCCUUAGGAUGACAUUUUUGAAAAUCAUUUUACUCUCGAAUAACCUACUUAAGUUUUAAAAUGUGUGGAAUUGUUAGUUUGUGUGCUUAUUGCUCUUAAGUGUGAAGUAUUAUGAUUGUAGUGUGUGCUUAACAUUUUGACCCUGUUCCCUUAAAUUUGUGUGUGUGUGUUUAACACA